AGAGUUUGAUCCUGGCUCAGGAUGAACGCUAGCUACAGGCUUAACACAUGCAAGUCGAGGGGCAGCGGGUUGAAAGCUUGCUUUCAAUGCCGGCGACCGGCGCACGGGUGCGUAACGCGUAUCAAACCUGCCUCAUACUCGGGGAUAGCCUUGCGAAAGUAAGAUUAAUACCCGAUGUUGUUGCUUUCUCGCAUGGGAGAGUAACCAAAGAUUUAUCGGUAUGAGAUGGUGAUGCGUCCGAUUAGGUAGUAGGCGGGGUAACGGCCCACCUAGCCUUCGAUCGGUAGGGGUUCUGAGAGGAAGGUCCCCCACACUGGAACUGAGACACGGUCCAGACUCCUACGGGAGGCAGCAGUGAGGAAUAUUGGUCAAUGGGCGAGAGCCUGAACCAGCCAAGUAGCGUGCAGGAUGACGGCCCUAUGGGUUGUAAACUGCUUUUGUAUGGGGAUAAAGUCAAUCACGUGUGAUUGUUUGCAGGUACCAUACGAAUAAGGACCGGCUAAUUCCGUGCCAGCAGCCGCGGUAAUACGGAAGGUCCAGGCGUUAUCCGGAUUUAUUGGGUUUAAAGGGAGCGUAGGCGGAUUGUUAAGUCAGCGGUUAAAGGGUGUGGCUCAACCAUGCAUUGCCGUUGAAACUGGCGAUCUUGAGUGCAGACAGGGAUGCCGGAAUUCGUGGUGUAGCGGUGAAAUGCUUAGAUAUCACGAAGAACUCCGAUCGCGAAGGCAGGUGUCCGGGCUGCAACUGACGCUGAGGCUCGAAAGUGUGGGUAUCAAACAGGAUUAGAUACCCUGGUAGUCCACACAGUAAACGAUGUAUACUCGCGGUUUGCGAUAGAUUGUAAGCCGCCAAGCGAAAGCAUUAAGUAUACCACCUGGGGAGUACGCCGGCAACGGUGAAACUCAAAGGAAUUGACGGGGGCCCG
rnacentral:rRNA from 2 species